AAAAAUCUAUUAAAAUAUGAAAAGUAUACAAAGAAUGUGAUUAAAACAAAACACAGUCAAAUGAAGUUGAAAAGUAAUGAAAAAAAAUAGAUUGUAAUGAAUCGAAUUGUGCUUAGGGGUAUUUUUAAAAUUUUCUGAAAAAGAUGGGAAAAUAAAAAAGUAUCAUUGACAAAAAGAAAAUUAGUUUUUACCUUAAUGUAAAGAACAUUAAAAUAGUAUUGAAAAAAUCGUCUUGGCCAACUCUUUUUUUAAAUAUAAAAUGAAGAAAAGCGUAAGGUAUGUAUAAUAUAGGCCGUUCUUUUUGUCUACUAAGUAGUAUAUGGUUUAUUGGUUAAUGU
rnacentral:lncRNA from 1 species